AACGAACGCUGGCGGCAUGCCUAACACAUGCAAGUCGAACGAGACCUUCGGGUCUAGUGGCGCACGGGUGCGUAACGCGUGGGAACCUGCCCUUAGGUUCGGAAUAACUCCCCGAAAGGGGUGCUAAUACCGGAUAAUGUCUUCGGACCAAAGAUUUAUCGCCUUUGGAUGGGCCCGCGUUGGAUUAGCUAGUUGGUAGGGUAAAAGCCUACCAAGGCGACGAUCCAUAGCUGGUCUGAGAGGAUGAUCAGCCACACUGGGACUGAGACACGGCCCAGACUCCUACGGGAGGCAGCAGUGGGGAAUAUUGGACAAUGGGCGAAAGCCUGAUCCAGCAAUGCCGCGUGAGUGAUGAAGGCCUUAGGGUUGUAAAGCUCUCUUACCCGGGAUGAUAAUGACAGUACCGGGUGAAUAAGCUCCGGCUAACUCCGUG
rnacentral:rRNA from 1 species